GCGCAGUACCCGCUGUUGCUGGCGGUGGUUAUGGAGAUGCGGUGCGUGGCGGAGGCCGCGGCGUUGGCGCCGACAGCGGGACACGGACCGCGACCGCUCGGCUGCGGGGUCGCGGCGCCACAAGGCAGGCAGCACUCCUGCAAGUGCAAAACGAUAAGAUGGUGUGCGGCCAAAGGCUAUUUUACCAGUUGCUGAAAGCUUAACUCCAGAAUGCCCCAUAAAAUUGGAUUUGUUGCUAUAAGCUCAUCUGGCCAUGAAGAUGGCUAUAAUUCAAAUGAACUGAUGGUGCAUGCACCAACAGUUAAUGGCUGGCGGUCACCAAGGUUCUGCCUCUACCCACAGGAGAUUGUCCUACAAAUGGUGGAACGUUGUAGGAUUCGCAAACUUCAGUUACUUGCACAUCAGUACUUGAUUUCUACAAAAAUUGAAUUUUACAUCAGUGAAAGUCUUCCAGAUCACUUUGGGUCUCAGCAUGUGGACAGAUUCCGUAGACUUGGGUACGUUUCUCUGUCGGAUAAUCAGAAAACAGCGUUCAAAGCCCGAGAACUUAAGUCUGUUCACGUUGAUGCCGUUGGGAAAUAUCUAAAAUUAACAUUCCAUAAAAAUCAUGUCAAUAGAUACAACUUGUAUAACCAGGUAGCAUUGGUGGCUGUAAAUAUCCUUGGAGACCCAGUGGAUUACAAGGAGACUUUUAUAACUCCCACUAAAGACAAAUUGAUUGAUCAUUACCUUGGAUGUAGCCCAGAUGAUCCAGCACUCGAUGGAACUUACAUUGGUAAGUCAGAGGUUAUCUCGCCCUUGGAUGACCUAGCCUUUGAUAUGUACCAAGAUCCUGAGGUGGCCCAAAUAAUACGUAAAUUAGAUGAAGAAAAACAUGAAGCAGUUAAGCUUGAGCGCUAUGACUUUGCAAAGAAACUUAAACAAGCUAUUGCUGAUCUUCAGAAGGUAGGUGAACGUCUAGGCCGUUAUGAGGUGGAAAAACGAUGUGCAAUAGAGAAAGAGGACUAUGAUCUGGCAAAGCAGAAGAAACUGCAAAUGGAUGAUUAUAGGAUGAAAGUUUACAAGCAAUUGGAGCUACAUAACCUUUUAGACAUGGGAAUGAUUCGAAAGUUUCCUGAGUUUCCUCUUGAACCAAUGGAUCACCCCAGUAGGCUUCAACAGGAACAGAAAGUUCUGGAAGUGGAAUCCAAUCGGCUAUCUGAGAAAGUCCAUCUGCAAGAAAUGCCUCAAGCAAAUUCCAAACUACAACACCGAACUGCUGGAAAGCCAAAGUGGUCUCCUACACCACAGCCUUCUCCUGCACCACCUGUCAGGCUACCUUCUCCAAGGGUGGAUACUGGCUCGCUUCCUUAUGAUGAGAGACCACUCCCAGCUCAAAGCAAGCCUUCAGAAUUGGGCAGUGUUUCCCAACAAGAAAGUAAUGAGAUGCCUGCUGUAAACACAGACACUUCACCUACAUCAGGAAGUGGUAUCGCUGGAGAACCAGAGCCCUUAACUGAGAAAGCUUUCAGAGAAGCUAGUUUCGCCAUUGAUUUAUUUGGAGAGGCACUGGUGGCUGGUGCCUAUUCAAAAACUUGGUCGUACAGGGAAGAUGCUUUGCUGGCUGUUUAUAAAAAGCUUUCCACUGUUUCUGAUGAUAUUUCCAAGGACGAGUUAAAGAAUAUGCUACGAGCUGCAAUCUUCCUUGUUCGUAAAGCUAUUAAAGACAAAGUGUCAUCGGUUUUCCAAGCAUCUCUGAAGUUACUAAAAAUGCUGAUAACUCAGUUUGCUCCCAAACACAAGCUGGGCAAAGUUGAAAUUGCUCAUUGUGUUGAGAAAACGUUACCCAUCCUCCUCAGUAAGACUGGAGAUGCAACAACACAUCUUCGAGUGGCAGCAAUGAAUUUCAUACAAGAAAUGGCAUUGCUGAAAGAAGUACGGCCACUUCAUAUAAUCCCACCGCAGCUGAUGCAGCCCCUGAAACCACAGGUUGCAGUCCGCUUGGUAUUGAAUCAAAUUGAAUUGGUGGAGCGUUUACUGAAGGAGUUGGGCACAGAUAAUAGUGGUUUCACCAUAGACAAUGUCAUGAAGUUUACAGCAGAAGCUUUGGAACACUCUGCUUCCGAAGUCCGAGACACUGCUGUGCGGAUUAUCUUUAACAUGUAUCGACGUCAUGGGAAUGUGAUUUUGCACUAUCUUCCACCUGAUGUUGCAAAUAUUCGUAAGAAUGUGCUAUACAAAUCACUUUUUGAUGGGUUUGCAAAAAUAGACGGGAGGCCAACAGAAGCUGAACAACGAGCACAUAAAAAAGCAGUGGCAGAAGAGGCAGAGAAGCGGAAGAAGGAAGAAAUACGAGCUCUUCAGGAACAGCUGGCGGCAUUGAGAGAAAUACAGGCAGAAGUCCAGGCUGAAAAGGUGUAUAAACAUGACUUAACAAGGGGAAGGAUGUCGAGAACAGCAAACAUUCUAAAACAGAACAGGGAACAAAAGUUCCUGCUUCUCAGCCAGAGAUACCGUUUGAACAGUCCACAGUUGCUGAUUAUUUGGAUAAUUUAUGCAUAUUCUGUGGGGAGAGGAAUGAAAUGUUUACGGAUGAAGGCUUGGACAUCCAUUACUGGAAGCACUGUCCAAUGUUGAGACGGUGUGAGCAUUGCAAACAAGUGGUAGAAAUAGCCAGUCUCACUGAGCACAGGCUAACCGAGUGUGAUAAAAAAGAUAGCUUUGGGAAGUGUCAGCGCUGUAAUGAGGCAAUAGCAAAAGAGGAUCUCCAGGAACAUCUGAAGACGAAGAACUGCAAUGCCGCCAAGCCUGAGAAAAUUGCCAAUCACUGUCCACUCUGCCAUGAAAAUUUCCAGCCAGGAGAGGAGCCCUGGAAAGUGCAUCUCAUGGGAAGAGACGGCUGUAAAAUGAACCCCCGCAGAAUGCAGACGUUACAGAGGACCCAGCAACUCCAACAAGCAAAACCAGGAACUCUGGCUACUUCUCGGCCAGGUCCCACAGGAAUUAAAGGCCGUUCUCCAACAACCACCAGCAGAAUCCCUGCACCAAGAGCAGGGUUAAACAAAACAACAAGCAGAACUCUAAAUCGUCGAUGAAUUUACUCUCGAUAGGACAAGCAGCGAGUCUAUUGUAACCUCUGCACCAUCGAUUCAAAACAUAUGGUCUGCUCUGCCAUUUGUGAGAACACACAGGACUAAAAUCCCAAUAUCAUCAAUAACAGGUGAAAGAUUGUUAUGAUGAAGAUAAAGAACCUUGGACUUAUUUUGAAGUUCUAUCAAACAUCCACUCAAGCCAGAUUCUAACUUAAUUAUUUAAUGAACUCCACUCGUACAAAGAAAAAAUGGAGUUCAGUAAAUUAGUUUUUUCUGUUACAGACAUGUGCCUGGAAACCAUGAGCAGAACAUUAGAAAGAGAAUAAUGCACUGAAUUCUGUUUUAACAGAAAUGUUUGCUUGUAGAAUUUACAAUAUUUUUCUGUUGCCUACUGUUCACUCAACAAUUUCAGCCAAGAAUGGAAUCGGACAGCUGCGGAGUAAUCAUUUGUAGGAAUCCUUAGAGUGCAGUAUUAAAAAAAAUACAUGUAUGCAAUCAUUCCCUUUUAAAUUUUGUGCACGCCUGAACAGAUGACUAGGGCAACUAUUGUAUUUGCAGAAAUCUUAUAAUUUGUAUGAAUUGCUUUAUCUUGAAAAUUAGCUAUUUUUCAAAGUGAAGGGACAUUUAUAUGCACAUAUUCGAGUAGCAUUAAGGGAUGAAGAUUAUCAUGACCAGAUAAAUCAUUCAUUUUUGGGGGCUGACUGAAAGCAAGUACUGUCACUUACUAUAAACGCCUUCAGUGAAGUAGGUUGUGUAGCAAACAAAUCAUGUAAUAAAUCUGGCAAUGGCUUCCGCAAAUUUGACAUGGGAGUUCAAUUUGAGAUGGAUUGAGAAAAGCUAGGCAACGGGACUCUCAUUGCAGCUCUUUCAUGCAUCUCUCGUGCAAAUGUCUGGUUGCUUUUACUGUAUGAAUAGAUUCAUUUACAGUAAAGUGACUUAACUUUGCUUAUGUAAACAUUUGACAAGGAAAAUAUUGAUGGUAAAAUGCAUUGGGGAGAUCCAUGAACUAAAAGAAAACGCAGCAUUUCUAGUUUAAUGUUUUGAUGUUAAAUAAUUGCCUAGGUGGAGCACAUAAUGAAACAUCAAUUGAAAAGGGAUACACACGUAUAAUUCACCUGAUUUUUCCAUUCAUUUAAGUUGCUCAGAUAGUUAAUGUAAUGAUUGGAAUAUGUACUCAAAUUCUAUAAUCUUAACAUAAUUGCUGAAAAUUAACUAAUUGAAAUCCUUAAUACCCUAUGUCUUCAUCAAAUGUGCACUUGUUUAAAGAUGUUGAACCCCACCCAGUUCUUCCUGGAUUGGUGGGUUGUGUUGAAUGCAAUGUUUAUAUUGAAAUAUUUAUCAAACAAAAAAAACUAUCCUUUUAAAUUUUUUUAUUUUUUUUAGACUAGUACAAAUGGAUACUGAGACUUUUAUUCAGACCCAGGGUUAGAGCAAGAUUUAGUCCGAAGUUGUCAAAAGUAGGAAAGUAGUAUCCAUAUUAAGUAUUGGAAGUGCAGUGAAAAAUGUCAACAUUUGAAAAUCACCAUCUCAAAAUUUAUCAUGAAUCAUUGGACUCGGCACGUGAAUAUUUCCUUUAAAUUUUAAGCUAGAUCAUUAGUCACAAAAUCAGAUUUGGUCAAAAAUGCUAAGAGUGAAAAUAGAAUAAGAAUUUUCAGCUGUGCUGCCUAAAUUUCUGUAUCACACAGUGCAGUUAAGCCUUAUUUCGCUGAUUUUAAAUUUAAAUUGUCAGAACAAUAUUCAGCAUGUGAAAGUUGCAUAAAAUCUUGGUUAAUCUGAUUUAGUCUUGUUUUGCUUUAAAUGCAUAGUUUCAGAGUAUUUAAGAUCAUUGCGCAAACUAUUGUUGAGCUUAUAAAAAAUGUAAUAUUAAUGCUUAAUCACUGUGGUUCAGUAGUUGGAGGAAUUGAGCUAAUUUGUCCCAGAUUCUAUUGAUGUAUUUAUCUUGAUCAAAAAAUAUUGAAUGUAUAUUUUAGAGAUGCAGCUGUAUAUAUGUCAAAAAUAUCUAGUUUUGUAUUUAUUACACUUUCCUGUAACAUAUUUAAUCCAUUUUCGUUAUUGGAUUUGAUUCAAUCCUUCAAAUGGUUUCUGUGUGAUCAUACACAUAGCUUUUUUUUAAACACACUGCAGAUGAUGUGUAAAAGCUUUUUCUUUAUUUUUCUUUGCAAUUCUUCUCUCUCUCUCUUUCUCUUUUUCAUGGCUGCUUGUCACUGUCUGGUAACAAUUUCUCAUGUCCGCCUGAGUGGUAAGUAUCAGCAAGCUAUUUCCAAGAGGACAAAUAUCACAAACCAAUCCCAAUCAUGUCAUCAAUCAUUUUCCAUGUCUAUACUUCCAAUAAUGAUUCCUAACCAAUGCCUAGAGUUGGCUGCCUGACUAAUCUAUCACUAUAAACGAGGAAAGAUAAGGCCAACUAUAAAAUUCCUGCUCAACAAAGAUGAUUAUUUUUGCAGAACUUCAGCAGUUUGAUUACUACAUAAACAGUGAAGGUCAACUUCCAGGCCUAAAACCAUUCUACAGUCCCCAAAAUGAGUAAUGCACAAUACAGCAUACCCUCUUGAUUUAUCCUCCCAUUACUUGUGAAAGGAUAUGCCUGUGAGAAUGUCUAACUGAGAUUUCAAAUACGCAACAUCCCUAGCAUACUAUGAUAUGUCGUGAAAAUCUGCAAUUGAAAGAAAAUUUACAACCAGCAAGGUUAAAAAAAAAAGUAUAACUUUGCACUAAAGUUGCAUAGAAUGACACUUUGAGUCAUGGCAGUUGGAGAAGUUGAAUUAAUUCAUUGUGUAAGCAAAGCUUGCGUGAAUAAUUUUCUUCCCCAUCAAAUACUGAAUGUCUGCCAGAUAUGUAGCAACAAUUCAGGAAUAUUAUUAAACAAAAUUGAACUGA